rnacentral:rRNA from 1 species
CCUACGGGCGGCAGCAGUGAGGAAUAUUGGUCAAUGGGCGCGAGCCUGAACCAGCCAAGUAGCGUGAAGGAUGACUGUCCUACGGGUUGUAAACUUCUUUUAUAAAGGAAUAAAGUGAGGCACGUGUGCCUGUUCGUGUGUACUUUAUGAAUAAGGAUCGGCUAACUCCGUGCCAGCAGCCGCGGUAAUACGGAGGAUGCGAGCGUUAUCCGGAUUUAUUGGGUUUAACGGGAGCGUAGAUGGGUUGUUAAGUCAGUUGUGAAAGUUUGCGGCUCAACCGUAAAAUUGCAAUUGAUACUGGCAGCCUUGAGUACAGUUGAGGUAGGCGGAAUUCGUGGUGUAGCGGUGAAAUGCUUAGAUAUCACGAAGAACUCCGAUUGCGAAGGCAGCUUACUAAACUGCAACUGACAUUGAUGCACGAAAGUGUGGGUAUCAAACAGGAUUAGAUACCCUUGUAGUC